GGGAGUGCGGUCUCGGUAUGGUUCAGCUUGUGUGAGUAAUGUCACAAGCUAGACGCUUACUGUUUGAGAGAUGAUCCAGUCACACUUGACUGAGACACGUCCAGACUCCUACGGGAGGCAGCAGUGGGGAUAUUGCACAAUGACGAAGUCUGAUGCAGCACGCCGCGUGGAGGAUGACACAUUUCGGUGCGUAACUCUUUUAUAUAGGAAGAUAAUGACGGUACUAUAUGAAUAAGCACCGGCUAACUCCGUGCCAGCAGCCGCGGUAAUACGGAGGGUGCAAGCGUUACUCGGAAUCACUGGGCGUAAAGAGCGUGUAGGCGGGUAUAUAAGUCAGAAGUGAAAUCCAAUAGCUUAACUAUUGAACUGCUUUUGAAACUGUAUACCUAGAAUGUGGGAGAGGUAGAUGGAAUUUCUGGUGUAGGGGUAAAAUCCGUAGAGAUCAGAAGGAAUACCGAUUGCGAAGGCGAUCUACUGGAACAUUAUUGACGCUGAGACGCGAAAGCGUGGGGAGCAAACAGGAUUAGAUACCCUGGUAGUCCACGCCCUAAACGAUGUACACUAGUUGUUGUGAGGCUCGACCUUGCAGUAAUGCAGUUAACACAUUAAGUGUACCGCCUGGGGAGUACGGUCGCAAGAUUAAAACUCAAAGGAAUAGACGGGGACCCGCACAAGCGGUGGAGCAUGUGGUUUAAUUCGACGAUACACGAAGAACCUUACCUGGACUUGACAUAGUAAGAACUUUCUAGAGAUAGAUUGGUGUCUGCUUGCAGAAACUUAUAUACAGGUGCUGCACGGCUGUCGUCAGCUCGUGUCGUGAGAUGUUGGGUUAAGUCCCGCAACGAGCGCAACCCUCGUCAUUAGUUGCUAACAGUUCGGCUGAGAACUCUAAUGAGACUGCCUACGCAAGUAGGAGGAAGGUGAGGACGACGUCAAGUCAUCAUGGCCCUUACGUCCAGGGCUACACACGUGCUACAAUGGGGUAUACAAAGAGCAGCAAUACGGUGACGUGGAGCAAAUCUCAAAAAUAUCUCCCAGUUCGGAUUGUAGUCUGCAACUCGACUACAUGAAGUUGGAAUCGCUAGUAAUCGUAGAUCAGCUAUGCUACGGUGAAUACGUUCCCGGGUCUUGUACUCACCGCCCGUCACACCAUGGGAGUUGAACUCAUUCGAAGCGGGGAUGCUAAAGUAGCUACCUCCCAUCCAAGGGUUUCCGCG
rnacentral:rRNA from 2 species